rnacentral:rRNA from 1 species
AUUGAACGCUGGCGGCAGGCCUAACACAUGCAAGUCGAGCGAGCGGCGGACGGGUGAGUAAUGUCUGGGGACUGCCCGAUGGAGGGGGAUAACUACUGGAAACGGUGGCUAAUACCGCAUACUAUCGGAUAACCCAUAUGGGAUUAGCUAGUAGGUGGGGUAAAGGCUCACCUAGGCGACGAUCGCUAGCUGGUCUGAGAGGAUGAUCAGCAACACUGGGACUGAGACACGGCCCAGAGUCGUACGGGGGCAGAAUUGGGGAAUAUGGCACAAAGGGCGAAAGACUGAUGCAGCGACGGCGCGGGGGGGAUGAAGGCUUUCGAGUUGUAAACGUCUGUCGGAAGCGAACGGGUAGGUGGAGAAGAAGCGCCGGCUAACUACGUGCCAGCCGCCGCGGUAAUAC